CCUACGGGAGGCAGCAGUCGAGGAUCUUCGGCAAUGGGCGCAAGCCUGACCGAGCGACGCCGCGUGUGCGAUGAAGGCCUUCGGGUUGUAAAGCACUGUCGAGGGGGAGGAAAGCCGCAAGGUCUGACCUAUCCCUGGAGGAAGCACGGGCUAAGUUCGUGCCAGCAGCCGCGGUAAGACGAACCGUGCGAACGUUGUUCGGAAUCACUGGGCUUAAAGGGCGCGUAGGCGGCUCGCAAAGUCCGGGGUGAAAGCCCCCAGCUCAACUGGGGAAGUGCCUCGGAUACUGGCGAGCUCGAGGGAGGUAGGGGCGGAUGGAACUUCCGGUGGAGCGGUGAAAUGCGUUGAUAUCGGAAGGAACGCCGGUGGCGAAAGCGAUCCGCUGGCCCUCUACUGACGCUGAGGCGCGAAAGCCAGGGGAGCAAACGGGAUUAGAUACCCCGGUAGUCCUGGCCCUAAACGAUGGGUACUAGAUUGUGGGCUUGACAUGGGCUCACAGUCGAAGCAAAAGUGUUAAGUACCCCGCCUGGGGAGUAUGGUCGCAAGGCUGAAACUCAAAGGAAUUGACGGGGGCUCACACAAGCGGUGGAGCAUGUGGCUUAAUUCGAGGCUACGCGAAGAACCUUAUCCUGGGCUUGACAUGUGCGAAAGCGGUCGGAAGUAGGGAGCGGAAACGUUUCUCGAACGGUAUCCAGUCCGGAACCGACUACAGGUGCUGCAUGGCUGUCGUCAGCUCGUGUCGUGAGAUGUCGGGUUAAGUCCCAUAACGAGCGAAACCCUUGUCUCCAGUUGCUACCCGCAAGGGAGGACUCUGGAGAGACUGCCGGUGUUAAACCGGAGGAAGGCGGGGAUGACGUCAAGUCCUCAUGGCCUUUAUGCCCAGGGCUGCACACGUGCUACAAUGGGCGGUACAACGGGUUGCCACCUGGUAACAGGAUGCUAAUCUCUAAAACCGUUCUCAGUUCGGAUUGAAGUCUGCAACUCGACUUCAUGAAGCUGGAUUCGCUAGUAAUCGCAGAUCAGCAAUGCUGCGGUGAAUACGUUCCCGGGCCUUGUACACA
rnacentral:rRNA from 1 species